UACGGGGGGGGCAAGCGUUGUUCGGAAUUACUGGGCGUAAAGGGUUCGUAGGUGGCUCGCUAAGUCAGACGUGAAAUCCCUCAGCUUAACUGGGGAACUGCGUCUGAGACUGGCGAGCUCGAGUGCAGGAGAGGAACGCGGAAUUCCAGGUGUAGCGGUGAAAUGCGUAGAUAUCUGGAGGAACACCGGUGGCGAAGGCGGCGUUCUGGACUGCAACUGACACUGAGGAACGAAAGCCAGGGGAGCAAACGGG
rnacentral:rRNA from 1 species